rnacentral:piRNA from 1 species
UAGAUUGUAAGAAGCCUUUGUUUAAUUAC